GACGAACGCUGGCGGCAGGCCUAACACAUGCAAGUCGAGCGGAGCGGCGGACGGGUGAGUAAUGCCUAGGAAUCUGCCUGGUAGUGGGGGAUAACGUCCGGAACAGGGCGCUAAUAUCGCUUACUAUCAGAUGAGCCUUGGUCGGAGUAGCUAGUUGGUGGGGUAAAGGCCUACCAAGGCGACGUUCCGUAACUGGUCUGAGAGGAUGAUCAGUCACACUGGAACUGAGCCACGGUCCAGACUCCAACGGGAGGCAGCAGUGGGGAAUAUUGGACAAUGGGCGAAAGCCUGAUCCAGCCAGGCCGCGUGUGUGAAGAAGUUCUUCGGAUUGUAAAGCACUUUAAGUUGGGAGGCGUUACCAACAGAAUAAGCACCGGCUAACUUCGUGCCAGCAGCCGCGGUAAUAA
rnacentral:rRNA from 1 species